rnacentral:rRNA from 1 species
AGAGGAAGUAAAAGUCGUAACAAGGUUUCCGUAGGUGAACCUGCGGAAGGAUCAUUAUCGUACAACAUGUGUGAGAGGUGUGCGAGGGCUGUCGCUGACUUUUCGUCGUGCACGCCGGAGCGCGUCCUCUUCACAUUAAAAUCCAUCUCACCCUUUUGUGCACCACCGCGUGGGCGCCCUUUGGGAUCGAAUCGAUCCAGGAGGGGGCUUGCGUUUUCACACAAACCCCUUUUAAAAAGUGUAGAAUGACCCCACUUUGCGAUGACACGCAAUCAAUACAACUUUCAACAACGGAUCUCUUGGCUCUCGCAUCGAUGAAGAACGCAGCGAAAUGCGAUACGUAAUGUGAAUUGCAGAAUUCAGUGAAUCAUCGAAUCUUUGAACGCACCUUGCGCCCCUUGGUAUUCCGAGGGGCACACCCGUUUGAGUGUCGUGAAAAUCUCAACCUUCUCGGUUGUCUUCUGGAUGCCGAAGGAGGCUUGGACUUUGGAGGCCUUUGCUGGCGUCUCUCUCUUUUCGAGAGCCAGCUCCUCUUAAAUGAAUUAGCGGGGUCCUCUUUGCCGAUCCUCGACAUGUGAUAAGAUGUUUCCAUGACUUGGUUUCUGGCUCUGUUGCCUUUGGGACCCGCUUCUAACCGUCUCGACGAGACAACGUUUGGGCGUGUCUCCCUUCUCGGGAAACACACUCAACCUCACGAACCCUUGACCUCAAAUCGGGUGAGACUACCCGCU